UACGUAGGGUGCGAGCGUUGUCCGGAAUUACUGGGCGUAAAGAGCUUGUAGGCGGUUUGUCGCGUCUGCCGUGAAAGCCCAGGGCUUAACCCUGGGUCUGCGGUGGGUACGGGCAGACUAGAGUGUGGUAGGGGAGACUGGAAUUCCUGGUGUAGCGGUGAAAUGCGCAGAUAUCAGGAGGAACACCGGUGGCGAAGGCGGGUCUCUGGGCAACAACUGACGCUGAGGAGCGAAAGCGUGGGGAGCGAACAGG
rnacentral:rRNA from 1 species